rnacentral:rRNA from 1 species
CAGCCGCCGCGGUAAUACGAAGGGGGCUAGCGUUGCUCGGAAUGACUGGGCGUAAAGGGCGCGUAGGCGGUUGGUACAGUCAGAUGCGAAAUUCCUGGGCUUAACCUGGGGGCUGCAUUUGAUACUGUUUGGCUUGAGUUUGGGAGAGGUGAGUGGAAUUCCCAGUGUAGAGGUGAAAUUCGUAGAUAUUGGGAAGAACACCAGUGGCGAAGGCGGCUCACUGGACCGACACUGACGCUGAGGCGCGAAAGCGUGGGGAGCAAACAGGAUUAGAUACCCGCGUAGUCCCUGUCUCUUAUAC